UACGUAGGGGGCGAGCGUUGUCCGGAGUUACUGGGCGUAAAGCGCACGCAGGCGGUCUGCUAAGUUUGGAGUGACAGUUGGUGGCUCAACCACCAAAGUGCUUUGAAAACUGACAGACUUGAGGGCUUCAGAGGGACACGGAAUUCCGGGUGGAGUGGUGAAAUGCGUAGAUAUCCGGAGGAACACCGAUGGCGAAGGCAACUGCCUGGGCCUGAUCUGACACUGAGGCACGAAAGCGUGGGUAGCAAACAGG
rnacentral:rRNA from 1 species